GUGGAUAACCUACCCUUAGGACCGGAAUAACCCCGGGAAACUGGGGAUAAUACCGGAUAAGCCAUAGACGCUGGAAUGCCCUAUGGUUCAAAGCUCCGGCGCCUAAGGAUGGAUCUGCGGUCUAUCAGGUUGUAGUGGGUGUAACGUACCUACUAGCCGACGACGGAUACGGGUUGUGAGAGCAAGAGCCCGGAGAUGGAUUCUGAGACACGAAUCCAGGCCCUACGGGGUGCAGCAGGCGCGAACACUUUACAAUGCGGGAAACCGCGAUAAGGGAACCCCGAGUGCCAGCAUCAAAUGUUGGCUGUCCGGAUGAUUAAAAAUCAUUUGUUAGCAAGGGCCGGGCAAGACCGGUGCCAGCCGCCGCGGUAACACCGGCGGCCCGAGUGGUAGCCGUUUUUAUUGGGUCUAAAGGGUCCGUAGCCGGCUUGAUAAGUCCUUUGGGAAAUCUGGCAGCUUAACUGUCAGGCUUCUAAGGGAUACUGUCAGGCUUGGGACCGGAAGAGGUAAGGGGUACUCCAGGGGUAGGAGUGAAAUCUUGUAAUCCCUGGGGGACCAUCUGUGGCGAAGGCGCCUUACCAGAACGGGUCCGACGGUGAGGGACGAAAGCUAGGGGAGCAAACCGGAUUAGAUACCCGGGUAGUCCUAGCUGUAAACGAUGCUCGCUAGGUGUCAGACACGGUGCGACCGUGUUUGGUGCCGCAGGGAAGCCGUUAAGCGAGCCACCUGGGAAGUACGGUCGCAAGGCUGAAACUUAAAGGAAUUGGCGGGGGAGCACUACAACGGGUGGAGCCUGCGGUUUAAUUGGAUUCAACGCCGGAAAACUCACCGGGUGCGACAGCAAUAUGUAGGUCAGGCUGAAGGUCUUACCUGAAUCGCUGAGAGGAGGUGCAUGGCCGUCGUCAGUUCGUACUGUGAAGCAUCCUGUUAAGUCAGGCAACGAGCGAGACCCGCGCCCACAGUUGCCAGCAUGUUCUCCGGAACGAUGGGUACACUGUGGGGACCGCCGCUGCUAAAGCGGAGGAAGGAACGGGCUACGGUAGGUCAGUAUGCCCCGAAUCUCCCGGGCUACACGCGGGCUACAAUGGUUGGGACAAUGGGCACCUACCCUG
rnacentral:rRNA from 1 species